rnacentral:rRNA from 1 species
CCUACGGGUGGCAGCAGUGAGGAAUAUUGGUCAAUGGGCUUACGCCUGAACCAGCCAAGUCGCGUGAGGGAAGACUGCCCUAUGGGUUGUAAACCUCUUUUGUCAGGGAGAAACACCGGCUACGUGUAGACGGACUGAGAGUACCUGAAGAAAAAGCAUCGGCUAACUCCGUGCCAGCAGCCGCGGUACUACGGGUGAUGCGAGCGUUAUCCGGAUGGAUUGGGUUUAAAGGGAGCGUAGGCGGAAUGCCAAGUCAGCGGUAAAAUCGCGGGGCUCAACCUCGCUCCGCCGUUGAAACUAGCGGUCUUGAGUGGGCGAGAAGUAUGCGGAAUGCGUGGUGUAGCGGUGAAAUGCAUAGAUAUCACGCAGAACUCCGAUUGCGAAGGCAGCAUACCGGCGCCCAACUGACGCUGAAGCACGAAAGCGUGGGUAUCGAACAGGAUUAGAUACCCCGGUAGUC